UAGCGGUGCGCCUAACACAUGCAAGUCGAGCGAUAUAGCGGCGAACGGGUGAGUAACACGUUGGAACCUGCCCCAGACUCAGGGAUAGCCCACCGAAAGGUGGAUUAAUACCGGAUGCCCCAGCAAUGGGAAAGAUUUAUCGGUCUGGGAGGGGCCCUGCGCAGUAUCAGCUUGUUGGUAAGGUAAUGGCUUACCAAGGCUACGACGCUUAACUGGUCUGAGAGGAUGAUCAGUCACAAUGGAACUGAGACAAGGUCCAUACUCC
rnacentral:rRNA from 1 species